AUUAACAUGAAAAGAAUCAUGAACCAUAGAUAGGAAAAGAUGAUGGUCCAAUGACAACCUAACAUCUAGUGGCACGACUUAGCCGGAACUGGUCUAUGUGAACGCACAACAAGGCCACUAAUGGCACGACUUAUAUGUGAAUGCACAACAAGGCCAUUACCGCGCGACAUGAAAAGAUGAUGGUCCAACCAAUGACAACCUGACAUCUAGUGGCACGACUUAGCCAGAACUGGUCUAUGUGAACACGCAACAACGCCGUUCACGCGGGAGCGCUGCUCUGUUAAGCCAGCCCAGGAGUACACACCCCAACUCCCAAUGUCACCUCCUUCAGGAAGUGUGACGGUCUGAGUCUUAUUACACAUGUCAGUCUUAAGUCUUAUGUCUUACUACAUGUCACAGCUCCUUCAGGGAGUAACUGUCUGAGUAUUAUUACAGCUGCAAUAAUACUAAUUUAGUUCCCAAGCCAAAUCAACACACUAAUUGUCAUCAAUUGGUUGAUCAUUUUGGUUGUCCCAAUCAUCUUAUUGCUCCCACUUGGGUUACAAGCUUAAGUUACUAAGCUCAGCAGCGUGUGGUGUUUGGUUGAGUUCUUUUAAACUGGAUGUGUUGGUGUUCUGCCAAUGAUGUGGGACAAGAAAUUGAUUAGUGCCUAACAAAGCCAAGUGAAUCUCGGCGGCUUUGUGGAUCGUGGUGAUGGACCAUGUGGAACUUAGUUCGAGGGGGAGAUUGUUGGGUGUGGGUAGUGUAAAGUGCAGUAAACCUUGGAAAUUGAC
rnacentral:lncRNA from 1 species